rnacentral:pre_miRNA from 1 species
AGAGCGGUGGCGGUGCGCGCUACUCGGGCUCCGGGGCUGUCCUAUCGAGUCAGGUACCUGAAGUAGCGCGCGCUGCUGCCGCCG